AACUUAGAGCAGCGGAUCACUCGGCUUGUGAGUCGGUGAAGCGCACAGCCAGCUGCGUGAAUCAAUGUAAAUAGCAGAACACAUCGCACAUUGAUAUCUCGGACGAUAUAUAAAUGUGUUGAAUAAACACAAUAAAUUUUACUUUAAUUUUU
rnacentral:rRNA from 1 species